CGGACGGGUGAGUAACACGUGGAUAACCUACCUAUAAGACUGGGAUAACUUCGGGAAACCGGAGCUAAUACCGGAUAAUAUAUUGAGCCGCAUGGUUCAAUAGUGAAAGACGGUUUUGCUGUCACUUAUAGAUGGAUCCGCGCCGCAUUAGCUAGUUGGUAAGGUAACGGCUUACCAAGGCAACGAUGCGUAGCCGACCUGAGAGGGUGAUCGGCCACACUGGAACUGAGACACGGUCCAG
rnacentral:rRNA from 1 species